rnacentral:rRNA from 1 species
GUGUCAGCCGCCGCGGUAAUACGUAGGUGGCAAGCGUUGUCCGGAAUUAUUGGGCGUAAAGGGCGCGUAGGCGGCGUCUUAAGUCAGAUGUGAAAACCCCGGGCUUAACCUGGGAACUGCAUCUGAUACUGGGAUGCUAGAGUGCAGGAGAGGUAAGUGGAAUUCCUAGUGUAGCGGUGAAAUGCGUAGAUAUUAGGAGGAACACCAGUGGCGAAGGCGACUUACUGGACUGUAACUGACGCUGAGGCGCGAAAGCGUGGGGAGCAAACAGGAUUAGAUACCCUGGUAGUCCACGCUGUAAACGAUGGAUACUAGGUGUGGGAGGUAUCGACCCCUUCCGUGCCGCAGUAAACGCAAUAAGUAUCCCGCCUGGGGAGUACGGCCGCAAGGUUGAA